GACGAACGCUGGCGGCGUGCCUAAUACAUGCAAGUCGAGCGAGUCUGCCUUGAAGAUCGGAGUGCUUGCACUCUGUGAAACAAGAUACAGGCUAGCGGCGGACGGGUGAGUAACACGUGGGUAACCUGCCCAAGAGAUCGGGAUAACACCUGGAAACAGAUGCUAAUACCGGCUAACAACAGAUGAUGCCUAUCAACUGUUUAAAAGAUGGUUCUGCUAUCACUCUUGGAUGGACCUGCGGUGCAUUAGCUAGUUGGUAGGGUAACGGCCUACCAAGGCGAUGAUGCAUAGCCGAGUUGAGGGACUGAUCGGCCACAUUGGGACUGAGACACGGCCCAAACUCCUACGGGAGGCAGCAGUAGGGAAUCUUCCACAAUGGACGCAAGUCUGAUGGAGCAACGCCGCGUGAGUGAAGAAGGGUUUCGGCUCGUAAAGCUCUGUUGUUGGUGAAGAAGGACAGGGGUAGUAACUGACCUUUGUUUGACGGUAAUCAAUUAGAAAGUCACGGCUAACUACGUG
rnacentral:rRNA from 1 species